AGAGAAGAAGGAGAGGGGUUCAAGCUGUUAUCUUUUCUACAGGAAAACUAACCUUUUGUUCUUUGGUUCUAACUUUCUGCUUCACAGAGUUACUUUGCCCAGAAGCACGUUUCCCACUGGCUUCUGUUUUGCAACACUUGUCAUGAAAAACCACUUUAGAAGAGAGGAGCAGGAGGACAGAGGCACAAGACAUGAUGUUUCCUACAGCACAAUAGAAACCUGACUUUUGACAUCCCUGCCAAGAUUUAGUUUUCUCAGUGAUAUCAGUGCUGCUCUCCAUGCAGAGACCCUGGCUAUGGCGAGGAUGCAGGAUGGGUGAACCCACACCCCUGCUCCUCAGAAUACUCCAUCUGGGAAGAUACCAGAGCAUACCACAGAUUCCUCCCUGUCCACAACCCCAGGUUGUUUUUGAAAGGAAACCAAUGCACAUAGGACGAUGACAAGCACACAGAUCUUCUCUUGGAGCUGAGUGAGAAUGAAACAGAUCCUGGUAACAAAACAAUCAGAACUGGGAAGUGAAACAUGAACCACAUCCUCCUGCUCAGCAAGAAUUCAACACGUUCUUUGGGUGUAAUCGAGCUUUUGUGCGUCUGAAUCUGCUAGAGCAGUAGACUAUGCAGAAGAGUGACCAAAGGGAUAACUCGUGGACAAAAGGAAGAGGAGCAUGGAGGAGAAGCCCUUGAUAGACUCUUGUGGUCUAUUCAGACCUCUGCAACAGAGGACUUUCGAAGCACAAAUAAUAUGUGACUCUAUUCUAGAGCUGCAAGAAAAAUACAAAU